UUUUUUAAGAUUAUAAUUUAAAAUCAAACCUGCUCAAUGUAAGUAUAUAAAUAGCUGCAGAUUAUCUGUACUAAGGUAGCAUAAUCAUUAGCCUUUUAAUUAAAGGAUAGAAUGAAUGGUUUAACGAAAUAUGAACUGUAUCUAGCUUUAAAAUGAAACUAAAUUAAAAGUAAAAAUUCUUUUAUAAAUAAGAAAGACGACAAGACCCUAAUAAACUUAGUAUUUAACUGGGGCGGUAAUUUAAAAAAACCUUAAUUUACAAUAAUAUUUCACACAAAUUUUAAAAUAAAUUUAGAUAUAGUUACUAUAGGGAUAACAGCGCAACUUUAAUUUAAAGAUCUCAUUAAAAUUAAAUUCUACGACCUCGAUGUUGAAUUAAUUAAACUUUUUAAAAGCAAUAUUUAAAAAAGAUAGUCUGUUCGACUAAUAAUAAAUU
rnacentral:rRNA from 1 species